rnacentral:rRNA from 1 species
GCGUGCAGAAGAGGCCUUCGGGUUGUAACUGCUUUUGUACGGAACGAAACGGUCUGGGUUAAUACCCUGGGCUAAUGACGGUACCGUAAGAAUAAGCACCGGCUAACUACGUGCCAGCAGCCGCGGUAAUACGUAGGGUGCAAGCGUUAAUCGGAAUUACUGGGCGUAAAGCGUGCGCAGGCGGUUUUGUAAGACAGUCGUGAAAUCCCCGGGCUCAACCUGGGAAUUGCGAUUGUGACUGCAAAGCUGGAGUGCGGCAGAGGGGGAUGGAAUUCCGCGUGUAGCAGUGAAAUGCGUAGAUAUGCGGAGGAACACCGAUGGCGAAGGCAAUCCCCUGGGCCUGCACUGACGCUCAUGCACGAAAGCGUGGGGAGCAAACAGGAUUAGAUACCCUGGUAGUCCACGCCCUAAACGAUGUCAACUGGUUGUUGGUCUCUUCUSACUCAGUAACGAAGUAACGCG